rnacentral:rRNA from 1 species
CCUACGGGAGGCAGCAGUGAGGAAUAUUGGUCAAUGGGCGCGAGCCUGAACCAGCCAAGUAGCGUGAAGGAUGACUGCCCUACGGGUUGUAAACUUCUUUUAUAAAGGAAUAAAGUGAGGCACGAGUGCCUUUUUGUACGUACUUUAUGAAUAAGGAUCGGCUCACUCCGUGCCAGCAGCCGCGGUAAUACGGAGGAUCCGAGCGUUAUCCGGAUUUAUUGGGUUUAAAGGGAGCGUAGAUGGGUUGUUAAGUCAGAUGUGAAAGUUUGCGGCUCAACCGUAGAAUUGCAAUUGAUACUGGCAGUCUUGAGUGCAGGUGAGGUAGGCGGAAUUCGUGGUGUAGCGGUGAAAUGCUUAGAUAUCACGAAGAACUCCGAUUGCGAAGGCAGCUUACUAAACUGCCACUGACAUUGAUGCUCGAAAGUGUGGGGAUCAAACAGGAUUAGAUACCCUGGUAGUC